AUGAACGCUAGCUACAGGCUUAACACAUGCAAGUCGAGGGGCAGCAUGAACUUAGCUUGCUAAGUUUGAUGGCGACCGGCGCACGGGUGAGUAACACGUAUCCAACCUGCCGAUGACUCGGGGAUAGCCUUUCGAAAGAAAGAUUAAUACCCGAUGGCAUAGUUCUUCCGCAUGGUAGAACUAUUAAAGAAUUUCGGUCAUCGAUGGGGAUGCGUUCCAUUAGGUUGUUGGCGGGGUAACGGCCCACCAAGCCUUCGAUGGAUAGGGGUUCUGAGAGGAAGGUCCCCCACAUUGGAACUGAGACACGGUCCAAACUCCUACGGGAGGCAGCAGUGAGGAAUAUUGGUCAAUGGACGAGAGUCUGAACCAGCCAAGUAGCGUGAAGGAUGACUGCCCUAUGGGUUGUAAACUUCUUUUAUACGGGAAUAAAGUGAGGCACGUGUGCCUUUUUGUAUGUACCGUAUGAAUAAGGAUCGGCUAACUCCGUGCCAGCAGCCGCGGUAAUACGGAGGAUCCGAGCGUUAUCCGGAUUUAUUGGGUUUAAAGGGAGCGUAGGCGGACGCUUAAGUCAGUUGUGAAAGUUUGCGGCUCAACCGUAAAAUUGCAGUUGAUACUGGGUGUCUUGAGUACAGUAGAGGCAGGCGGAAUUCGUGGUGUAGCGGUGAAAUGCUUAGAUAUCACGAAGAACUCCGAUUGCGAAGGCAGCCUGCUGGACUGUAACUGACGCUGAUGCUCGAAAGUGUGGGUAUCAAACAGGAUUAGAUACCCUGGUAGUCCACACCGUAAACGAUGGAUACUAGGUGUAGGGUGUGAUAAACGCUCUGUGCCGUCGCAAACGCAGUAAGUAUCCCACCUGGGGAGUACGGCCGCAAGGUUGAAACUCAAAGGAAUUGACGGGGGCCCGCACAAGCAGUGGAGUAUGUGGUUUAAUUCGACGCAACGCGAAGAACCUUACCAGGGCUUGACAUAUACAGGAAUAUGCUAGAGAUAGUAUAGCUCUUCGGAGUCUGUAUACAGGUGGUGCAUGGUUGUCGUCAGCUCGUGUCGUGAGAUGUUGGGUUAAGUCCCGCAACGAGCGCAACCCUUAUCUUUAGUAGCCAGCGGUCAGGCCGGGCACUCUAGAGAGACUGCCAGGGAUAACCUGGAGGAAGGCGGGGAUGACGUCAAAUCAUCAUGCCCCUUAUGACUUGGGCUACACACGUGCUACAAUGGCGUAAACAAAGGGAAGCGAGCCUGCGAGGGUAAGCAAAUCCCAAAAAUAACGUCCCAGUUCGGACUGCAGUCUGCAACUCGACUGCACGAAGCUGGAAUCGCUAGUAAUCGCGGAUCAGAAUGCCGCGGUGAAUACGUUCCCGGGUCUUGUACACACCGCCCGUCACACCAUGGGAGUUGGUAACGCCCGAAGUCAGUGACCCAACCUUUCAGGAGGGAGCUGCCGAAGGCGGGACUGAUAACUGGGGUG
rnacentral:rRNA from 1 species